rnacentral:rRNA from 1 species
GCAACAGCGAUAAGGGAACCUCGAGUGCCAGGUUACAAAUCUGGCUGUCGAGAUGCCUAAAAAGCAUUUCAUAGCAAGGGCCGGGCAAGACCGGUGCCAGCCGCCGCGAUAACACCGGCGGCUCGAGUGGUAACCGUUAUUAUUGGGUCUAAAGGGUCUGUAGCCGGCCGGAUAAGUCUCUUGAGAAAUCUGGCAGCUUAACUGUCAGGCUUUCAGGAGAUACUGUCUGGCUCGAGGCCGGGAGAGGUGAGAGGUACUUCAGGGGUAGGGGUGAAAUCUUGUAAUCCUUGAAGGACCACCAGUGGCGAAGGCGUCUCACCAGAACGGACCUGACGGCAAGGGACGAAAGCUAGGGGCACGAACCGGAUUAGAUACCCGGGUAGUCCUAGCCGUAAACGAUACUCGCUAGGUGUCGGCCACGGUGCGACCGUUGUCGGUGCCGUAGGGAAGCCGUGAAGCGAGC